rnacentral:rRNA from 1 species
GAUGAACGCUGGCGGCGUGCCUAAUACAUGCAAGUCGAGCGAACGGACGAGAAGCUUGCUUCUCUGAUGUUAGCGGCGGACGGGUGAGUAACACGUGUAUAACCUACCUAUAAGACUGGGAUAACUUCGGGAAACCGGAGCUAAUACCGGAUAAUAUUUUGAACCGCAUGGUUCAAAAGUGAAAGACGGUCUUGCUGUCACUUAUAGAUGGAUCCGCGCUGCAUUAGCUAGUUGGUAAGGUAACGGCUUACCAAGGCAACGAUGCAUAGCCGACCUGAGAGGGUGAUCGGCCACACUGGAACUGAGACACGGUCCAGACUCCUACGGGAGGCAGCAGUAGGGAAUCGUCCGCAAUGGGCGAAAGCCUGACGGAGCAACGCCGCGUGAGUGAUGAAGGUCUUCGGAUCGUAAAACUCUGUUAUUAGGGAAGAACAGAUGUGUAAGUAACUGUGCACAGCUUGACGGUACCGAAUCAGAAAGCCACGGCUAACUACGUG